rnacentral:rRNA from 1 species
UACGUAGGGCGCGAGCGUUGUCCGGAAUUAUUGGGCGUAAAGAGCUCGUAGGCGGCCUGUUGCGUCCGCUGUGAAAUCCCGGGGCUCAACCCCGGGCUUGCAGUGGAUACGGGCUGGCUAGAGGCAGGCAGGGGAGAACGGAAUUCCCGGUGUAGCGGUGAAAUGCGCAGAUAUCAGGAGGAACACCGGUGGCGAAGGCGGUUCUCUGGGCAUUACCUGACGCUGAGGAGCGAAAGUGUGGGGAGCGAACAGG